AUGGUUUGUCUUUCUCAUGGAAGUCCUAUUGGAUUGGUUAUGGAUUAUGUUACUUCAAACAAUGUAACAUGUAAGGCCUCACUUUUCUUUAUCACCAUGAUCGGAGUACAGGACAAACUAUUGAAGUCGAAAUUGAAUCCAGUGGUCUUUACUAUCUUCAACCAUCCACUUCGACUAUAUGUGCUACUACCAAAUCUCCUGAUAUUUUGCAUCGC